CGAGAGAACCUUCGUUAAGGAAUUAGGCAAAAUAUACCCGUAACUUAGGGAGAAGGGUAGCCUGCGUCCGGGAGACCGUUAGGUAGCUCGGAGGUAGGUCGCAGAUGAGAGGCUCUAGCGACUGGUUAACCAAACCACAGGUCUCUGCGAAGUCGUAAGACGACGUAUAGGGGCUGACACCUGCCCAGUGCUGGAAGGUUAAAGGGAGAGGUUAGGCGCAAGCCGAAGCUUUGAACUGAAGCCCCAGUGAACGGCGGCGGUAACUAUAACCGUCCUAAGGUAGCGAAAUUCCUUGUCAGGUAAGUUCUGGCCCGCACGAAUGGUGUAACGACUGGAGCGCUGUCUCAACGAGGGACUCGGCGAAAUUGAAGUAGUGGUGAAGAUGCCAUUUACCCGCACCCGGUCAAAAAGACCCCGUGGAGCUUUACUGUACCCUGGCAUUGCGCUAGGGCUUUGUCUGUGUAGUAUAGGUGGGAGGCUGUGAAACUGGAGCGCUAGCUUCGGUGGAGCCAUCAGUGAAAUACCACCCUGAUGAAGUCUUGGCCCUAACCGGCAUCCCUGAACGGGAUACGAAACAGUGCCAGGCGGGCAGUUUGACUGGGGCGGUCGCCUCCUAAAAGGUAACGGAGGCGCCCAAAGGUUCCCUCAGGCUGAAUGGAAACCAGCCGCUGAGUGUAAAGGCACAAGGGAGCUUGACUGCAAGACCAACAAGUCGAGCAGGGACGAAAGUCGGGCUUAGUGAUCCCACGCAUCCGAGUGGAAGGGGCGUGGCUUAACGGAUAAAAGCUACCCCGGGGAUAACAGGCUGGUGAGGCCCAAGCGUCCACAGCGACGGCCUCGCUCGGCACCUCGAUGUCGGCUCGACGCAUCCUGGGGCUGUAUAAGGUCCCAAGGGUCGGCCUGUUCGGCCGUUAAAGCGUUACGUGAGCUGGGUUCAAACCGUCGUGAGACAGGUUGGUCUCUAUCCGGUGUGGGCGCAGGGGAUUUGAGAGGAGCUGUCCUUAGUACGAGAGGACCGGGAUGGACGCACCGCUGGUGUGCCAGUUGUUCCGCCAGGAGCAUCGCUGGGUAGCUACGUGCAGCAGGGAUAACCGCUGAAAGCAUCUAAGUGGGAAACCCGCCUCAAGAUGAGAUCCCCCUGAAGGCCGCCAGAAGACUACUGGUUUAAUAGGUGAGAGGUGUAAGCCCCGUAAAGGGUUAAGCUGACUCAUACUAAUGGCCGUUUGGCUUA
rnacentral:rRNA from 1 species